rnacentral:rRNA from 1 species
ACCCGAGGAAACUCGGGCUAAUACCGGAUGUGCUCCCGCCACACCAGUGGCGUGAGGAAAGGAAGCUUCGGCCUCCGCAUCGGGAUGGGCCCGCGGCCCAUUAGCUUGUUGGUGGGGUAACGGCCUACCAAGGCGACGAUGGGUAGCUGGUCUGAGAGGACGAUCAGCCACACUGGGACUGAGACACGGCCCAGACUCCUACGGGAGGCAGCAGUGGGGAAUCUUGCGCAAUGCGCGAAAGCGUGACGCAGCAACGCCGCGCGGGGGAAGACGGCCUUCGGGUUGUAAACCCCUUUCAGUUGGGACGAAGUCCGGUCGGUGAACAGCCGCGCCGGGUGACGGUACCUUCAGAAGAAGCCCCGGCCAACUACGUGCCAGCAGCCGCGGUAAUACGUAUGGGGCAAGCGUUGUCCGGAAUCAUUGGGCGUAAAGCGCGUGUAGCGGCUCGGUAAGUCCGCUCUGAAAGCCCGGGGCUCAACCCCGGGGAGGCGGGCGGAAACUGCCGAGCUCGAGUCCCGGAAGAAGCGAGUGAAUUCCUGGUGUAGCCGGUGAAAUGCGCAGAUAUCAGAGGAACACCAAUGGCGAAGCAGCUCGCUUGGGACGUACUGACGCUGAGACGCGAAAGCGUGGAGCAAACAGAUUAGAUACCCUGGUAGUCACGCGUAACG